AACAUAGAGGAGGUAUUCAUUGUUACACCCCCAGAUACUGAUGUGUAUGCAAUUCCAACAGUUCUAGCACCAAUGCCUCGAAAGAUUGUUCGGAAUUAGAGCGGUACUAAUUCCGCCAGGAUCAGUGGAACGCAACAUAAUUUAAACUGAGAAGAAAUAAAAGUAGCAAAAAUAAUAAGUGCAAGUGACACAAGAAUUUACGUGGUUCGGCAAUCGUCUCUAUAUUUUAUUUGCCUACGCAAAGGCAAUCUUUCAAUUUUCUCUCGUUAAAAUUCUGUACAAACUAAAGCCUAACUACUUCUCACUUUUGUGAUUUGCUCACUAUUUCUCGUGUUUUCACUCAACACGUUUUGCACACACCUUUCUAUCUCCUUUAGCUUUAGUCUCCAAUUUAUAGAGAAAAUCUCACCACCAUUAUUAAUUGCAAUUCCAUCAUUUUUCAACAAGGCUGCCAUUCAUUAAAUGCAUGGCACAAAAUCUUCAAGAAGUUGCUGCAUGGCUGCAAAACAUUUUCAUACACAUUGUCUUUUUCAACAUUUGUUGCCACCUUGUGAAAAAAUGUGUCUGACACCAUGAGAAUUUGUGAAGCCUAAAACUUAGGCUCCAUAAUUUCAACAAAGAUAUGCCCCACCCCAAUAUAAUCUAUGAUAUAAAGAUCGACUUCUUUAAAUACACGUCUUGUUUCUUAUCAAUUUGUUGAAGUUCUGUUUUGAUUGUGCUUAACAUUCUCACACACCUGCAUUGUUGACUUGUAUUCGUAUUUGUUAUUCUUUAUGUCUCCUUUGGUAUUGUAGUAUAUUCGUUGUGCACAAAGUGAUUAUGGAUUUUACAGUGUGACAGAACCGCCCAUUGAUGCACCUAGAGAUCCGAUGUAAAAAUCUGAGAGAGAAGUCAUAAAGGUUUUCCUGACAAAGCACUACAGGAAUCGCAGGCUGGGUGACCCAGAAUUUGCUCUGGAUUUUGAGGAGAUCUAUGUAAUUGAUUC